UGUAUUCAAUAUGUGCAGAGAAAAGCAGUUGUCUAGCAUGUACUUGGGAACGAACCUGCUGAUGUUUACAGAGAAAAGCAGUUGUAUAGCACAUGACUUUUCCUUUUUGUUUAUAACCAUCUUUUGAGAUGGUUGGCUCAGUUGUUUUUUGUUGCAUUGAAUGGUUGGUGUAGACAACACAUCGUGGUCCAAGAUGAAGUCCUAGCCAAUAGGUUGGGCCUUAUUCCCAUCAAAGCUUACCCAAGGCUGUUCGAAUAUGUUUCAGGUACUUCUUCAAGGUCUUUCUUCAAGGGAUUUGAUAUGUGGAAGGAAGAAACUGUAAUGAAGGUCAGCUUACCUAGAUUUCAUAGAUGGUGAUAGUUUCUCCAAGGCCUUGGAACUUAACGGUUCGUAACUUGGGGACUACACCUUGAGCCAAGAAGUGACAACCGUGAAGGUGGUGGCAGGAGCGGCGGUGGUAGAGGUGGCAGAGAUAGUGGUGGCCGAUUUGGAGGCGG